rnacentral:rRNA from 1 species
GAUGAACGCUGGCGGCGUGCCUAAUACAUGCAAGUCGAGCGAACAGACGAGGAGCUUGCUCCUCUGACGUUAGCGGCGGACGGGUGAGUAACACGUGGAUAACCUACCUAUAAGACUGGGAUAACUUCGGGAAACCGGAGCUAAGACCGGAUAAUAUAUUGAACCGCAUGGUUCAAUAGUGAAAGACGGUUUUGCUGUCACUUAUAGAUGGAUCCGCGCCGCAUUAGCUAGUUGGUAAGGUAACGGCUUACCAAGGCAACGAUGGGUAGCCGACCUGAGGGGGUGGUUGGCCACACUGGAAGUGAGACACGGUCCAGACUCCUGCGGGGGGCAGCGGUAGGGAAUCUUCCGCGAGGGACGAAAGCCUGACGGAGCAACGCCGCGUGAGUGAUGAAGGUCUUCGGAUCGUAAAACUCUGUUAUUAGGAAAGAACAAAUGUGUAAGUAACUAUGCUCGUCUUGACGGUACCUAAUCAGAAAGCCACGGCUAACUCCGUG